rnacentral:rRNA from 1 species
UCUACGGAGAGUUUGAUCCUGGCUCAGGAUGAACGCUGGCGGCGUGCUUUAUGCAUGCAAGUCGAACGAGAAGGGAAGGACUUCGGUCCGACCUGGAGAGUGGCGAACGGGUGAGUAACACGUGAGUAACCUGCCCCGAGGUGGGGGACAACCGUGGGAAACCACGGCUAAUACCCCGUAGUCCUGUGCGUUUUGGUAGCGUACAGGUAUAGCUCAGGCGCCUUGGGAGGGACUCGCGGUCGAUUAGCUAGUUGGUGGGGUAACGGCCUACCAAGGCGACGAUCGAUAGCUGGUCUGAGAGGACGAUCAGCCACACUGGGACUGAGAUACGGCCCAGACUCCUACGGGGGGCAGCAGCAAGGAAUAUUGGACAAUGGGCGCAAGCCUGAUCCAGCAACGCCGCGUGGAGGAAGAAGGCUUCGGUUGUAAACUCCUUUUGUGAGGGAUGAGACAAGGACAGUACCUCACGAAUAAGUCACGGCUAACUAGGUGCCAGCAGCCGCGGUAACACCUAGGUGACAAGCGUUAUCCGGAUUUACUGGGCGUAAAGGGCUCGCAGACGGCAGCUCAAGUCCGGCGUGAAAUCUCCUGGCUUAACCAGGAGGGGUCGUCGGAAACUGUGCUGCUAGAGGCAGUGAGAGGGGUGCGGAAUUCUCGGUGGAGUGGUGGAAUACGUAGAUAUCGAGAGGAACACCAGUGGCGAAAGCGGCACCCUGGCACUGACCUGACGUUCAUGAGCGAAAGCGUGGGGAGCGAACGGGAUUAGAUACCCCGGUAGUCCACGCUGUAAACGAUGAGUACUAGGUGUAGGCUACAACCGUGGUCUGUGCCGAAGCUAACGCGAUAAGUACUCCGCCUGGGGACUACGGCCGCAAGGCUAAAACUCAAAGGAAUUGACGGGGACCCGCACAAGCAGCGGAGCGUGUUGUUUAAUUCGAUGUAACGCGAAGAACCUUACCUGGGUUUGACAUGUGCGUAGUAGUGAAGCGAAAGCCGAACGACCCUUCGGGGAGCGUACACAGGUGUUGCAUGGCUGUCGUCAGCUCGUGUCGUGAGAUGUUGGGUUAAGUCCCGCAACGAGCGCAACCCUCGUCGUUAGUUACAAGUGUCUAGCGAGACUGCCGGUUAUACACCGGAGGAAGGUGAGGACGAUGUCAAGUCAGCAUGACCCUUAUAUCCAGGGCUACUAACACGCUACAAUGGGCCGUACAAUGGGCAGCCAAAGAGUGAUCUGGAGCAAAUCCCACCAAAACGGUUCGUAGUUCGGAUUGGAGGCUGCAACUCGCCUCCAUGAAGUCGGAGUUGCUAGUAAACGCAGGUCAGCCAUACUGCGUUGAAUACCGUUCCCGGGUCUUGUACACACCGCCCGUCAAGUCAUGGAAGUUGGUAACACCUGAAGCCGGUGACCUAACCGCAAGGAAGGAGCUGUCGAGGGUGGGAUCGAUGACUGGGACUAAGUCGUAACAAGGUAGCCGUACCGGAAGGUGUGGCUGGAUCACCUCCUUU